rnacentral:rRNA from 1 species
GAUGAACGCUGGCGGCGUGCCUAAUACAUGCCAGUCGAGCGAACAGACGAGGAGCUUGCUCCUCUGACGUUAGCGGCGGACGGGUGAGUAACACGUGGAUAACCUACCUAUAAGACUGGGAUAACUUCGGGAAACCGGAGCUAAUACCGGAUAAUAUAUUGAACCGCAUGGUUCAAUAGUGAAAGACGGUUUUGCUGUCACUUAUAGAUGGAUCCGUGCCGCAUUAGCUAGUUGGUAAGGUAACGGCUUACCAAGGCAACGAUGCGUAGCCGACCUGAGAGGGUGGUCGGCCACACUGGAACUGAGACACGGUCCAGACUCCUACGGGAGGCAGCAGUAGGGAAUCUUCCGCAAUGGGCGAAAGCCUGACGGAGCAACGCCGCGUGAGUGAUGAAGGUCUUCGGAUCGUAAAACUCUGUUAUUAGGGAAGAACAAAUGUGUAAGUAACUAUGCACGUCUUGACGGUACCUAAUCAGAAAGCCACGGCUAACUACGUG